UACGGAGGGAGCUAGCGUUGUUCGGAAUUACUGGGCGUAAAGCGCACGUAGGCGGCUUGUAAGUUAGAGGUGAAAUCCCCGGGCUCAACCCGGGAACUGCGUCCGAGACUGGAAGGCUCGAAUCCGGGAGAGGGAUGUGGAAUUCCAGGUGUAGCGGUGAAAUGCGUAGAUAUCUGGAGGAACAUCGGUGGCGAAGGCAGGUUACUGGGCAUUAUCUGACGCUGAGGCGCGAAAGCGUGGGUAGCAAACAGG
rnacentral:rRNA from 1 species